GAGGGUGCGAGCGUUGUCCGGAAUCAUUGGGCGUAAAGAGUUCGUAGGUGGUACGUUAAGUCAGGUGUUAAAUGCAGAGGCUCAACUUCUGUUCGGCACUUGAUACUGGCGAACUAGAAUGCGGUAGAGGUAAAGGGAAUUCCUGGUGUAGCGGUGAAAUGCGUAGAUAUCAGGAGGAACAUCGGUGGCGUAAGCGCUUUACUGGGCCGUAAUUGACACUGAGGAACGAAAGCCGGGGUAGCAAA
rnacentral:rRNA from 1 species